UACGUAGGGGGCUAGCGUUGUCCGGAUUUCUUGGGCGUAAAGAGCGUGUAGGCGGCCAGGUAGGUCUGGUGUGAAAACUCGAGGCUUAACCUCGAGAUGUCAUCGGAAACCAUCUGGCUAGAGUCCGGAAGAGGAGAGUGGAAUUCCUGGUGUAGCGGUGAAAUGCGCAGAUAUCAGGAAGAACACCAAUGGCGAAAGCAGCUCUCUGGGACGGUACUGACGCUGAGACGCGAAAGCGUGGGGAGCGAACAGG
rnacentral:rRNA from 1 species